rnacentral:rRNA from 1 species
UACAGAGGUCUCAAGCGUUUUUCGGAAUCACUGGGCGUAAAGGGUGCGCAGGCGGCGUGGAAAGUCAGAUGUGAAAUCCGGAGGCUCAACCUCCGAAUGGCAUCCGAUACUUCCGCGCUCGAGAGUUGUAGAGGAGCUUGGAAUUCUCGGUGUAGCAGUGAAAUGCGUGGAUAUCGAGAAGAACACUCGUGGCGAAAGCGAAGCUCUGGGCAACAUCUGACGCUCAUGCACGAGGGCUAGGGGAGCAAACGGG